rnacentral:rRNA from 1 species
AUUGAACGCUGGCGGCAGGCCUAACACAUGCAAGUCGAACGAGUGGCGGACGGGUGAGUAAUGUCUGGGAAACUGCCUGAUGGAGGGGGAUAACUACUGGAAACGGUAGCUAAUACCGCAUACCAUCGGAUGUGCCCAGAUGGGAUUAGCUAGUAGGUGGGGUAAAGGCUCACCUAGGCGACGAUCCCUAGCUGGUCUGAGAGGAUGACCGGCCACACUGAAACUGGACAACGGUCCAGACUCCUACGGGAGGCAGCGUUGGGAAAUAUUGAACAAUGGGGGAAGGCCUGAUGCGCCCAUGCCGGGUGUAUGAAGAGGGCUUUCGGGUUGUAAAGUACUUUCAGGGGGGAGGCGUUACCGGCAGAAGAGGCACCGGCUACCUCCGUGCCAGCAGCGGCGUAAUUC